rnacentral:rRNA from 1 species
GAUGAACGCUGGCGGCGUGCCUAAUACAUGCAAGUCGAGCGAACAGACGAGGAGCUUGCUCCUUCGACGUUAGCGGCGGACGGGUGAGUAACACGUAGGUAACCUACCUAUAAGACUGGGAUAACUUCGGGAAACCGGAGCUAAUACCGGAUAAUAUUUCGAACCGCAUGGUUCGAUAGUGAAAGAUGGCUUUGCUAUCACUUAUAGAUGGACCUGCGCCGUAUUAGCUAGUUGGUAAGGUAACGGCUUACCAAGGCAACGAUACGUAGCCGACCUGCGGGGGUGAUCGGCCACACUGGAACGGAGACACGGUCCAGACUCCUACGGGAGGCAGCAGUAGGGAAUCUGCCGCAAUGGGCGAAAGCCUGACGGAGCAACGCCGCGUGAGUGAUGAAGGUCUUCGGAGCGUAAAACUCUGUUAUUAGGGAAGAACAAACGUGUAAGUAACUGUGCACGUCUUGACGGUACCUAAUCAGAAAGCCACGGCUAACUACGUG